GAGGCUAGGUUUAACAGAGAAAUCAACAAACUGGAGGCCAUACACAAGGUACGCUAUAGUUUCUACUUUCUACUAAAAUUUUUGCGCCGUGGUCUCUGUGUUGGAUCCAGUUACCUUCUCACGCCUGUUCAACUCGGCCUCCUUGGCCAGAAGCUCCUUCUCCCUUGUCUUCCUGUCCUGCGUGAGUGGACAGGACAACCAAGCAAGAAUGGUUUACAUGCUACUAGAAUUACGCCAAUACUAACAUCCAUCUAGUGGUUUAAAUAGCUGCAGUUACCUUGUUGUUUGUGUCGUCCAUGGGGAUAUCCACUGGAGUAGCGAAGUCAUUGUAGAAGCCAGCAGGUUCAGGAGCAAGCGGCGAAAGGCGUGUGCUAGGAGGAGCCGGGCGUUGCGACUGCUGCGUACGUGAACUCAAUGUCGCGAUCGUAUGGUCAUCCAUCCAAAACAUUUUUAUUUUUUAACCCCCCCCCUUUUUUUUUUGGUUACUGAAAACAUUGCACUCACCGUCGUGUAGAAAGCGCCGCCAGAAUAGCUGGACUGAGCCGUCGGUCCUCCUCGUUUAGCUUGGUCCUGGAGAAUAGAUCAGCAUGAGUGCAGAAUUGCAGCUAACCACUUAACCUAACUCCUGUUAUCCCUUAGCACGCCUCGUUACUGAAAGAAAAAAAAAUAUGAACGAACCGCUUUGUUUCUGGCGUAGAUGCUUAUGUUGUCAUAAUCGAGAAUGUGUUAGCAUGUACCAUAUGCAACUUUCUCUUCAUUUCUUUUGAAAUUUGUUGUCAUCAUCAACGCACAACGGCGCAAGUACUCUAGCUUGAAUCUUUUUUUUUUGAAAGAAACUGGAAUGUUAAUAAGUAUACUUGGGCAUACAUAGUAUGAACUUGAAGUAAUUUAUAUGGUCAUGGGCUCAUGACACAAGGUUUUUUUUUCAGGGAACGUUAAUAAGGACCUGAACAUACGUAUGAAGCCGCAGCGGGGUAUGUCAGUAUAUGGUUAGCCUAUUACCAGGUCUCCAACAGCUCCCAUAUUCUAUCUUACAUCCCAUCCUUUAUUUUAAAUUUUACUUUUUCCAAAUAAAUAUUAUCAUCUACAGUACCGUGUCAUCUAUCUUACACGACACGACAGUCUAAACCGGCAACAAGAUAUUACUCGAAUCCUUCCAUCGGAAGUUUGAGAAUAAAUUUGAAUUUUCAGAAGGCAGCCGAUUACAACGCACUAGAAUAUGUGUGUUAAAGGCCACUUUCCCUAUCAGGUUGGUGCGUACAGUUGGAGGGAAAAAAAUUGAAGAUACAAAUUAAAACUAAUCGUCUCCUUGGCCGAGCUCAGAUCCCCUGCACGAUCAUGAUUAUGUAGAAAUUCCGACACGAUUCAAUUCAAUUGCAUUGAUAUAGAGUCUGUGUGAUCGGGUGUAGUCUCUGCAAGAUGAUAUCAAUCUAAUCUCUUGUCUUUCUCUAUCAUUCCUUGGCUUUCCCCCCUUCUUUUUUUUGAAGGAUACUGUUCUUUGUCAUCGCAAGCGAGCUUGGCAGAAGGUUUGAUGACGAAGCAGGAGCAUCAACUCGAAAUAUGAAAAAAGCAACUCCGGAUGAACGAAGCGAACAAGGAGAUACGCAGAAGCAAUCAAUCAAAGCAGGGGGAAAGGAAGAGCCGGACGGAGCUCAUCGCCGGCGCGAGCUGGGCCUGGGCUGGGCAGGGCAGGCAGGAUUACCGCGAAAGGGUUGACCUCGGCCGCGGCUGCGCCCUCCUCGAAGGGGUUGUCGUACGUCGAUCUCCCCGCCAUGGACCUUUCCUUCCCUCCUGCCGGUUCCUUGCUCUGCUCCGCUCCGCUCCGAGGUCAGCAAGGAGGGCAGGACCAACCGGAAGAAGCAGCAGCCUACUUGGACCUCGGUUCCUUGUGUACUCCUCCCCCACCCCCACCUAGUACUGAAAAUUUGGGCAGACCGGCCAGCCCGGUCUAAGUCUGUGUUUUCGGACUAAACGGAUUUAGGUAAAAAGAUCUGAUUUUUUGGACUGUACAGUGCCAGUCAAAUAAAAACAGUGUCCGAGCCCCGAUUCUAAAGAACGUCGUUUUUUU
rnacentral:lncRNA from 1 species